rnacentral:rRNA from 1 species
GACGAACGCUGGCGGCGCGCCUAACACAUGCAAGUCGAACGGAGCAUUAAAGUGCUUGCACUGGAAUGCUUAGUGGCGGACGGGUGAGUAACACGUGAGCAACUUGCCUUUCAGAGGGGGAUAACGUUUGGAAACGAACGCUAAUACCGCAUAACGUAUCGAUGGGACAUCCUGUUGAUACCAAAGGAGCAAUCCGCUGAGAGAUGGGCUCGCGGCCGAUUAGGUAGUUGGCGGGGUAACGGCCCACCAAGCCGACGAUCGGUAGCCGGACUGAGAGGUUGAACGGCCACAUUGGGGACUGAGAUACGGCCCAGACUCCUACGGGAGGCAGCAGUGGGGGAUAUUGCACAAUGGGGGAAACCCUGAUGCGGCGACGCCGCGUGAGGGAAGACGGGCCUUCGGGUUGUAAACCUCUGUCUUCAGGGACGAUAAUGACGGUACCUGAGGAGGAAGCCACGGGCUAACUACGUGCCAGCCGCCGCCGUAA